rnacentral:tRNA from 1 species
CGGGGUGUAGCGCAGCGGUAGCGCGCCUGGUUUGGGACCAGGAGGUCGGUGGUUCGAACCCACUCACCCCGA